GAUGAACGCUAGCUACAGGCUUAACACAUGCAAGUCGAGGGGCAGCAUUCUUGUAGCAAUACAAGAGAUGGCGACCGGUGCACGGGUGAGUAACACGUAUCCAACCUGCCUUCAACUCGGGGAUAGCCUUUCGAAAGAAAGAUUAAUACCCGACGGCAUAGCAAUUCCGCAUGGUGUUGCUAUUAAAGAAUUUCGGUUGAAGAUGGGGAUGCGUUCCAUUAGAUUGUUGGCGGGGUAACGGCCCACCAAGUCGACGAUGGAUAGGGGUUCUGAGAGGAAGGUCCCCCACAUUGGAACUGAGACACGGUCCAAACUCCUACGGGAGGCAGCAGUGAGGAAUAUUGGUCAAUGGGCGAGAGCCUGAACCAGCCAAGUAGCGUGAAGGAUGACCGCCCUAUGGGUUGUAAACUUCUUUUGUGUGGGAAUAAAGUGAGCCACGUGUGGCUUUUUGUAUGUACCAUACGAAUAAGGAUCGGCUAACUCCGUGCCAGCCGCCGCAGUAA
rnacentral:rRNA from 1 species